rnacentral:rRNA from 1 species
CCCAGACUCCUACGGGAGGCAGCAGUGGGGAAUAUUGCACAAUGGGGGAAACCCUGAUGCAGCGACGCCGCGUGAGUGAAGAAGUAUUUCGGUAUGUAAAGCUCUAUCAGCAGGGAAGAAAAUGACGGUACCUGACUAAGAAGCCCCGGCUAACUACGUGCCAGCAGCCGCGGUAAUACGUAGGGGGCGAGCGUUAUCCGGAUUCACUGGGUGUAAAGGGAGCGUAGACGGCCAUGCAAGCCAGGGGUGAAAGCCCGGGGCCCAACCCCGGGACUGCCCUUGGAACUGCAUGGCUGGAGUGCGGGAGGGGCAGGCGGAAUUCCUGGUGUAGCGGUGAAAUGCGUAGAUAUCAGGAGGAACACCGGUGGCGAAGGCGGCCUGCUGGACUGCAACUGACGUUGAGGCCCGAAAGCGUGGGGAGCAAACAGGAUUAGAUACCCCAGUAGUC